UACGUAGGGUGCGAGCGUUGUCCGGAAUUAUUGGGCGUAAAGAGCUUGUAGGCGGUCUGUCGCGUCUGCUGUGAAAAUCCGGGGCUCAACCCCGGACUUGCAGUGGGUACGGGCAGACUAGAGUGUGGUAGGGGAGACUGGAAUUCCUGGUGUAGCGGUGAAAUGCGCAGAUAUCAGGAGGAACACCGAUGGCGAAGGCAGGUCUCUGGGCCACUACUGACGCUGAGACGCGAAAGCCAGGGGAGCGAACGGG
rnacentral:rRNA from 1 species